GCCUACGGGAGGCAGCAGUGGGGAAUUUUGGACAAUGGGCGCAAGCCUGAUCCAGCAAUGCCGCGUGAGUGAAGAAGGCCUUCGGGUUGUAAAGCUCUUUCAGUUGAGAAGAAGAGAUUGUAACUAAUAAUUGCAAUCCAUGACGGUAUCGACAGAAGAAGCACCGGCUAACUACGUGCCAGCAGCCGCGGUAAUACGUAGGGUGCAAGCGUUAAUCGGAAUUACUGGGCGUAAAGGGUGCGCAGGCGGUUCUGUAAGUCAGAUGUGAAAUCCCCGGGCUUAACCUGGGAACUGCGUUUGAAACUACAGAGCUAGAGUGUGGCAGAGGGGGGUGGAAUUCCAUGUGUAGCAGUGAAAUGCGUAGAGAUAUGGAAGAACAUCGAUGGCGAAGGCAGCCCCCUGGGUCAACACUGACGCUCAUGCACGAAAGCGUGGGGAGCAAACAGGAUUAGAUUCCCGCGUAGUCC
rnacentral:rRNA from 1 species